rnacentral:rRNA from 1 species
GGAAUCUUGCGCAAUGGACGAAAGUCUGACGCAGCGACGCCGCGUGAGCGAUGAAGGCCUUCGGGUCGUAAAGCUCUGUGGGGAGAGACGAAUAAGGUAUGGCUAACAUCCAUGCCGAUGACGGUAUCUCCUUAGCAAGCACCGGCUAACUCCGUGCCAGCAGCCGCGGUAAGACAGAGGGUGCAAACGCUGCUCGCAAUUACUGGGCGUAAAGCGCGCGUAGGCAGCAGCGUGUGUCGGGCGUGAAAUCCCACGGCUCAACCGUGGAAGUGCACUCGAAACUGCGCAGCUAGAGUCUCGGAGAGGAAGGCGGAAUGCUUGGUGUAGAGGUGAAAUUCGUAGAUAUCAAGCGGAACACCGGUGGCGAAGGCGGCCUUCUGGACGAUGACUGACGCUGAAGCGCGAAAGCGUGGGGAGCAAA